rnacentral:rRNA from 1 species
AAUGGCUGCAGUAAUAUAACUGUACAAAGGUAGCAUAAUCAUUAGUUUUUUAAUUAAAAGCUUGUAUGAAAGGUUGGACGAAGUAAAAUCUGUCUCUUUUUAAUAUAAUUAGAAUUUAAUUUUUAAGUAAAAAAGCUUAAAUUUAUAUAAAAGACGAGAAGACCCUAUAGAGUUUAAUAAUUUAUUUUAAAUAAUUAAUUUAGAUUUAUUUAUUUUAUUUUUUAUAAAAUUAUUUUAUUGGGGUAAUAAAAAGAUUAGUAUAAUUCUUUUUUUUAUUUUACAUUAAUUUAUGAAUUUAAUGAUCCAUUUUUUAUGAUUAAAAGAUUAAAUUACCUUAGGGAUAACAGCGUAAUUUUUUUAAAGAGUUCAUAUCGAUAAAAAAGUUUGCGACCUCGAUGUUGGAUUAAAGAUUAAUUUAGGUGUAGAAGUUUAAAUUUUUGGUCUGUUCGACCAUUAAAUCUUUACAUGAUCUGAGUUCAAACCGGUGUAAGCCAGGUCGGUUUCUAU